UUUCGGGACCUAUGCGGCGGGCCGCCUGUGAACCGGGUCAGAUGGGGAACCAAGCAGCCCUAAGCGGUGUGGCCCGGGCGCUGUAGGACACCUGAGCGUG
rnacentral:SRP_RNA from 2 species